UACGUAGGGUGCGAGCGUUGUCCGGAAUUACUGGGCGUAAAGAGCUCGUAGGUGGUUUGUCGCGUUGUUCGUGAAAUCUCACGGCUUAACUGUGAGCGUGCGGGCGAUACGGGCAGACUAGAGUACUGCAGGGGAGACUGGAAUUCCUGGUGUAGCGGUGGAAUGCGCAGAUAUCAGGAGGAACACCGGUGGCGAAGGCGGGUCGCUGGGCUUUACCUGACGCUGAGGCGCGAAAGCGUGGGGAGCGAACCGG
rnacentral:rRNA from 1 species